rnacentral:ncRNA from 1 species
UUACACACAUUAACAAGGAAAGUAGAACAUACCCUGCUAUCACAGAGACUCUUCAUUUUGCUGAAAGAAGAGAUAGAAAGCAUGUUUGAAAAUGGCCUUUGAGUGGUGGUUUCGAUAUGAGGAAUCACCGGGUUCGCCCGUUAUCGCGAUACAGUAUAAGCAUAUAUAAUAUGUCGUACUGGAAAUUUUUAUAAUGACCACGUACCACAAUUGAUAUGCCGUACUGGUAGAGGUUGUUUUAGCGAUAAAACAACAAAUUAAGGUGGUACCACGAAAUAGAGCUUUCGUCCUUUUU